rnacentral:tRNA from 1 species
GCAGCUCAACCGGUAGAGCAUGAGGGUUGUGGGUUCAAGCCCCACGUGGUGUA